CGGUCUAUAGCUCAGUUGUAGAGUAUUUGACUGCAGAUUAAGAGAUCACCGAUUCGAACUCUGUUUGGUCCU
rnacentral:tRNA from 1 species